GAAGACUGAGGCAAUCGUUGCUGAAUAGUCGAAGUGUUGUACUGGAAUCGGGAUUUUUAAUGAAGUGGGUGUGAUUGCUCUUGACUGUUUUGUAAAAUCGAGUUACGUCUGUGAUGAAGAAUUAAAAGGGUGUCUAUAGGAUUGAGUAUGCGGAGUGAAUGAAAUUUAUUGGAUUAAUCUAAUGAGACAGUCAAUGGAUACAAGAUCGUGAGUAUAAAGCGGUAUCGAAGAUUAGCAGUUU
rnacentral:lncRNA from 1 species